UACAGAGGGUGCAAGCGUUAAUCGGAAUUACUGGGCGUAAAGUGUGCGCAGGCGGCCAAGCAAGUCGAGUGUGAAAGCCUCGGGCUUAACUUGGGAAUUGCGCUCGAAACUACUUUGCUGGAGUGUGGCAGAGGAAGGUGGAAUUCCACGUGUAGCGGUGAAAUGCGUAGAGAUGUGGAGGAACACCAAUGGCGAAGGCAGCCUUCUGGGCCAACACUGACGCUCAUGCGCGAAAGCGUGGGGAGCAAACAGG
rnacentral:rRNA from 1 species